UUAUUAUAUUUUAUCUGUGCUCCAACUUUUCUCAGUGGGAUGGAGUGACCAGCAUAACUGAAGAAUAUAUUAAUAAAGGCCCAUAAAACGCAAACAAUUUGGAAAAACACAAACACCAGACCAGAGACGCAGAAAGAACAGUUGCUAAGCGACCCUGUCAGCCCAGCUGAAAAGCAGCACACUGAAACAGCAAAACUAUUUUGUCCGCGGGCGGGGUGCUUUCAAAAAAGACCUGACUGAAAAGAACAAAUCCAGCCCAAGCAGCCAACCCUGCGCAGUCGCAAUAAAAGAGUCACUUCUUUUCAGGAUGAUGCCUUUUUUCCAAGCACAAAGGGCGGGGUAGGAGGGCUUCAGAAUGGCUACACGGCGCACCACUGCCACCUAGAGUCCAUAGAAACCGAAGACAACAAACCCGCAAAACAAAAACACAAAUUUCCGCCGUAUUUUCCGCGAAAGACCAUAAAUAUAGUACUUGAGGAACCCAAAAGGGAUGACGCUGAGGACCAGGGACAGGAGGAAAUGCUAUCAAAGUGGCCCUACCGACCCCUCGCGAACCCGGAAGCCUUCCCUAUUCCCGCACCCGGAAACAGAGCAACCGGUGCAGGAAGUCCUGUCCCUGGAGGACGCUAACCGGCAGGGCUGGAGCGAGGCUAGGUUGCGAUUGGUUGAGUCUGGUCCAGCGCGCCGGAAAUGCGUCUGGGCCAGCGCGCCGGAAGUGCGUGAUGUCGGAACCAGCCUUCUUCCCCAAAUCCACUAGAAUUUCCCGUUCUUGUUAAAUCACAGUACUGGUAAAAUGUGGGUCCUGUCGCCUGACUUCGGGGGCGUCUCGACCGCACCUGUACCGUGCCUUGGUCAUUGUCCUGCCGACCCCAGCCUUUGAACACGCCAAUGCGGCGGGACAUUCUCUCUCCCCGUCUCAAUCUCGCUCCUCUGAUGCCUCCGGAGCCACCUCAAGUCUCAAGAAGAUGACCGGCCGCUCCGGGGCCUCUCGGUCCACAGGGGUGUUCUCCUUCUCCCCAAGCGGAGCAUCCCCCUGCCCACGGACUUGCCUUGGGCUUCAGGAACCCCCGCGCGCCUCAGUGGUGUGGUGUCUAGCAUUGUACUCCGGACACGAACACUUUGUCCUCGUUCUCCAGCUCCCUCCCUCUAAUGCCCCUGCAUUGCAUCCACAGCAAUCAGCUUCCAUGCCCAUCUCCUGCAGGGACACCGGAAGAAAGUUUGCCGGCCCUCCAGGACAUUCCUGGACUAGACAGACGUGCACACGCUCCCAGGCUUGCUCCGUAACCCCUGGGAGACCUCACAAGCUCUGGCGGGUCCAGACAGUGAACAAUCACGAAGAUCACGUCAGCCACUGAGAAGAAAUUAACCAAUGUGGCCUUGUGGUCUGAGGAGCCCUAGUGAAUGUGUGAUCUCACCUCACCACCCCGGGCAGCUCGUCCUCCGUCCACCCUCCAAUCAGUCCACGUUAGAGGAGACGGGGGCAUCUCCGCCUUGUCCUCUCCUUGAACUAGGCCCAUGUUUCGCAUCCCGUGUAAGCGGACCCCAACGCGGAGCACAGCAGGAUGAGCAGACCAGACAGACACACAGAGUGCCACCGUCAGUCAGGAGAGCUGUCACGGAGGGGAGCAGGUCCUUCUCCAGGCUGUCAUGGCCUCCACAAGCCAUGCCAGGCUCCAUUCUCCUUUACAACACAGGCCCCAUUUUCCAGGGUCUGAGCCAUGGAGCUUGGCUUCAGAAAACGGUGUAGCAGCGUGGACUGCUGGAGAAAAUCCCAGAACCGCAUUUAGAGGCCCCUAUGCUUUCACAGGCUUCGUCGUCUCCUGGGGCCUCAGUGUUGUACAGACUGCUUUCUUUGGGGCUCUGGUCCCUUCUGCAGACAUCCCAAGAUUACGCCUCUCCCCCUGCAUCCUCGACCAUACAUGGAUUCCUUCCCUGCUGGCCAAAGCACAUUCCCAUUCUCAGGGGAGAUCCUAGCAGGCAGGGAGAGGGAGGGAGAAGGGCCCGUGCGCUGGAAGGGAGUGUGGGAGUCUGCUGUCAUGGCAACAUCCUUCUGGUCCUCCUCACUGGGUCACUCAGCUCAGGCAUCAGCCCAGCUAAAGGUCCAGGACUGAUGAGAAAGCACUUGUCUCCACCUCGCUCUCUUCCUGGGAACAGAUGUUGAGAUUAAUUAAAACAACAACAACAACAACCAGACCAACACUGGUUACUAGGCGACUGAAGCUUCAUCCAUCUGACUCAAGAGAAACCGCCCCCCCCCCCCCCGCCCCAGAAGACAAAGGAGCGGAAACUCAGACACCGGAUGGAUUGCGUGGGAGGCCACGCAGACAGGCACUGGGACUGUCGGUAAGCGUGCCCGUCACAAGAGUCCCGGGCGUCGUGUGCUCGGCAGCACCCCGUGCAGCGCAGCGCAGCGCCUGCGGCGUGAGGGACCCCAGGGGGACACAGGGGCGGAGACCAUGAGGAGGGGAUGGAGGCAGAAACCAGACCAAGGAAGGCCCGACGGACCGCACGCACCUCCUGCCGCAGGUUACCUCCCUGUUCUCUCAAGGCUUAUGUGACACCUGCCAUUUCAGUUUGACCCGUUUGUGCACCGCCUUAGUUGGAGCAACUCCCACGCGGUGUCAGCUUCACCAGAAGAGCUUUUCUCUCACCUUUGGGGUGGGAAAAUCGGUAGAACAUAAAAGUGACCAUUUCAAGCAUGUUUACGUGAAGGGACAGUCGCAUCAGCAAGUUCGCGCGCGCCCUUGCGCCACCUUCAGCGGCGUCCCCCACCUGCAGAGUUCUCCCUGAGCCCGAACUCUAGCUUUGUGGCCUUUAUUUUUAUUUUUAAAGAUUUUAUUUAUUUAUUUGACAGACAGAGACACAGCGAGAGAGGGAACACAAGCAGGGGGAGUGGGAAGGGAGAAGCAGGCUCCCCGCCGAGCAGGGAGCCCGAUGUGGGGCGAUGCGGGGCUCGAUCCCAGGACCCCGGGAUCAUGACCUGAGCCGAAGGCAGACGCUUAACGGCUGAGCCACCCAGGCGCCCCAAGCUUUGUGGCCUUUAAUUAAACACUCCCCAGUGCAGGUUCCCCUCCGCGCCCGCUAACGGCUGGGGCUUAGGGAAAGCCACCGAGCAGGCGACUCGGAGACGCGGACCGGCAGGCAGCGACUGAGGAGAGCCCCCAGCGGCGAAGCAGAAGGGUUUCGUCCGUGGGCGGUGCGUUUUCGCAGCCCCCCCCCCCCCCCCGCCUCCCGCAGGGAACCGGGCAGAGCCGGCGCCAGGCGGCCUGCCCGCGCAAGCGCAAAAAGGCGGCUCCAUUUUAGAGGAAACAAGCCGCUGCUGCUUUUUUCAAGCACGAAGGGCGGGGGAGGAGAGCGGCAGAAAACCUGCACGGCGCACUACUGCCACCUAGCGGCCAUAGAAACUGAGCGCCACACGUUGCGGAAGAAAAUCCAUCUUUUCUACCAUUCCCCUGGGAGGCGACGUGCAGCUCAAGGCUGUGGGAGCUACGUGGAAUGCCGCCGAAGAGCAGAGGAAGCCAGGGAACGGCCCGAGAGGCCCGGCGGAAUCGGCCACCGCACAAAAACCUUCUCGUCGUCCUGCCCCGGAAGUUUGCCAACAGCGGCCGGAAGCCCGCGCCCGGAAGUCCCGGCACCAGGGAGGGCGAAUCGUGAGCGCUGCGACCCGAUUGGUGCUUUCUGGGCAUGCGCACCGGAGUGGAAUGACGUCGGCGCCAGGCUCUGGGCCCGGGUUCCUUAGGGGUCUGCGGACCUGUCAGAGGUACCGGGGAGACGGGGGUAUCCCGGUACUGUCACCAGGUUCCCAGGAGCUCCCCCACGCCCCACGGGCGGCACCUGUACGGGUCCUCUGUUUAUUGUCCCCCUCCCCACCCUAGCCAGCGAACACGCCAGUCCCGUAACACACUCGCUGUCCGCCCUCUCAGCCCUCACUCCUCCGAUGCCUCCGGGCCCCCCUCAAGCCUCACGAAGAUGACCCGCCGCCCCCUGGCCUCUCCGCCCCAGGGAUGUUCUCCUGCUCCCCAAGCGGAGUAUCGCCUUGCCCACGGACACGCCCUGGGCAUCAGGAACGCCGCGCCCCUCCCUGGCGUCCCGAGUAGCUUUCCUCUCGCUCAGCGCUCUGAACCGGAUGCCCUGGUUCUCCAGCUCCCUCCCUCUAAUGCCUCUACAUCCACAGUAUACAGCCUCUUGGGGGCCUCCAGUCCAGACCCCAGGGCCACCUCAAGGUUCACCCCCAAUAACAAACACUCCCUUUUUGUAUGUGAGCACCAGAGCAUUGAUGACGAAAUUUUAAAGUCUUAGUGAAUUCUUUUAUGUUAGUUCCAUGGCCAGCAGAGAAUUGCCUUUCAUUUCCACUCACCCUUCCCACACUAUUACAGCUCUCUUCCGGUCUGUUGCAACUGCCUACUGAUUCAUGGCGAGGACAGUAGCAAUCAGGUGGGACUUGCCACAGCUUCCCAAACCCUGUCCUGGCAUUCUCUGCCGCCCCUCUGCACACAUGCUCUACAGGGCAACCAGCCCCUCAGCUCUGCUCAGGAUCCCGCGCCUCCCAGCUUCUCAGAGACUUGGCUCCUGCAGUGUCUCCUCUCUCCUGUUCUCUCUACAUGGGAGCAUUCCACAAUAGAGGCGGGGGGGGGGGGGAACCCCGCUGCCUUCCCCCAAGUCAUCCUGCAGCUACUGGCCCCCAAUCUGUACCUUUCAAAGCAAAACUGCUUCAGCUUCUCCCGAGGCCGUUAGCUCCUGCACCCGCUUCGAUAGAGCUUUCGUCCCUAUCUCUCCACUGCGACUGUUCUCGUCAAGGCCUCCCUUAACAUCCAUAUAGCCUGACACCACUCACACUCUGUGCACAUGCGAGGGAACCUCUGAGGCGCCUUUGGCGCUGUGACCAUUCAUUUCUCCACCUACUUUUUUUAUAUAGAUUUGAGUUGGGAGGUGUAUAUAAACUCAAUUUCUAUUGUAUUUGACAACGUGUGAAUUUCACAUUAUGCCCCCUUUGACCUGGAUAUAUGGGAAUUCGGGUCAAUAUGAAAGACAAGCCAAAGAAGGAGUAUCCUUUUCAGUCACAGAGGGGGCAAAGGCCCCCAGAGGAAGUGGCGGCAGAGGUGAAACAGCUCAGACAAGGGACAGGUGUUCGAGAAGUGAGGGGGAGCUCCAGGUACAGGAGGGUUUCCCCUCAUGCACACGUGGGACUCACAGGAUACACUCCGUACAAUGACCCAAGCGCUCUCUUUGAGUAAAGGGAUAACUGGAGUUGAGAUAUAUAGCUUUCUGGAGCUGAUCUUAGUUCCUGCUAUGUUGUAGAUGAGAUGGGGGGGGGGGGGGGCUGGAUUCCCCUAUGGGGGAUGUAGAAUGUGGCUGGGUUCAUAACCAGAGGUUCAUGAUGGAAACUUUAACCAGGCAGAGGCUUAGAUGACUCUGCAGCUGCACCUGUGGAGGGCACAGUCCCGCCCAGGGGUGGGAUGGAGGAUGAGACCCAGAUGCGGAGGUAUUUGCAGAUGCCAGCUGAGUGAGGUGAGGCUGAGGCAGCCAGGGAGCACCAGGUCCCCACCAAGAGGAGGGAGACAGAAGUGCAAGUUACACCCGCCUCCCUGCAUGGCAUCAGCAGCUGGACCUGGGGGAGACAAGAGUCAUCCUUCCCUCAGAGACCACCGAGGGCACUGUGAGCCACAUAGGUGUGUCAUAGAACCCCCCUUUCCACAUCAUCACACACACCUGUAAGCCACACAUACCCUUCCUCAUGUUGGGGAGGAGUGAGGGGCGAGGGGUGGUGGAAACGUGAGACUGAGCAUUUGUAGAUAGGGACCAUUCAGCGACUGCAUCGGACCACGCUUACCUACCACAUUCGGUGUAAAUGCAUGGCUUCUCUCCCCCCUUGCCUUCCAGUCCAGAUGCGGGGCCUCACUCAGUCAGGAGACUAACGGAACCAAAGCGCCUGGGUGAUGUGAGGAGCACGAGUGAGUCUGUGAUCCGAGCUCACCAUCCCCACCGGCUUUUCCUCUGCCCGCGGUCUGUCCAAGCAGUCAUGUUAAAGGAGAUUGGGGGUCCUUGUCUUGUCCUCUCCUUUAACUCAGGAAGCUUUUACCGUCCACAGACGGACCCCAGGACAGAGGACAGAGAGAAGAGAGGCCCACACAGACACACACACUGGAGUAGCUGACAAGGGUUGUCACAGAGCUGAGCUGGGCCUCCCCGUGGCCACCCUGCCCCUGCCCUCCCCAGGCAAUUUCUCCUCGAACAACACAGACGCUCACUUCAGGGCCUGAGUUCUGGAUCUGGGCCUCAGAAAAUGUGUCCAGAGCCAGAGGAGGAUGCCUGGAGGAUCGUACCUAAAGCCAGUGGUUUUUAUUAGAAGAAGGAGAGGUUUUCCCUUCUUAAUUCGUUUGAAGGUAAAGCAUGUGAGUUUCCUCCAUGGAGCUGAGGGGCCCAAGUGAGGACCUCAGUAGUUGCUGACAGAGCCAGCACUAUCCCCCCCCCCCCACGAUCCUUUCCCCCCUCUGCUGGGUGCUCAGAACAUCUGAUCUUCGAGGGAGAGCCUCCCCAGGUCCGCCUAGAGCUGUCACAUCCGCAAGUAGGGACCCAGGCUUUUGUUUGCAGAGACCAGCAAUCAGGCGCCCAGUCAAGGACAAGUCUCAGGUCUCCAGCUGCUGUCACUGGCCCCGUGAGUGUGUUCUCCGUGGUGAGAGCCCAUUAGGUUCUGGCCACAACACAGUCAUGCAGCACGAACGGUGUUUGACGGGCUUUCUUUAUAGGAAGCUAGAGGACUUAGAACGUACUCGCUUAUGCCCACUGCCCCACUUGGUUCCUGAAGCUCAGAAGGUCAUGCUUUCUACCCCCCUCCGUCUGAAACAGACAGUGGUGCCCUGAGGCCCCGGAGUCUCUCAGAUGGAAACCAGGGUCUAGUCCUGAAGAAGCCACCACGCUCUCGUGUCACUCUGGGGAAGGAAGGGGUCGACCUGGAGCAAGGGCUUGGUCUCUUCUUACAGUCGUGGUUCACCGGGCCUCCCUUCCUCAUCUGGCCUCCUGUCGGAUAAUGACCUAUCCCUGCCUCCCUCCCUCAUCCAGCAGGGAUAAGGAGCUUUGGAACGACGGGGUUUCCUUCAGAAAGGCGCGGACUCUGUGGCCACAGAGCAAUGGCUGAAGUGGCUUUCGGACCGGACCUUGGUCCUUCUCCUGAGAGCGUUCGCCUGCGUUACCGCUCGGCGUCUGCCCAGUGGCCCCUGUGUGAGAUCUUAGAACAGUCUGGACCUGGGCCCCCCCCUGACUUGCAGCCACCCGCCGGAGCCUGCGCCCGGCAUCCUCUUCACGGUGAUCUGAGGACGGCACUCUGACCCCAGCUUUGCAGGGGCAGAAUCACAUGGCGCUUCUGUCCUGCGGCUCCAUGGCCCAGCCUCUCUGUUCCUCAUUGGAAGGACCCGAAAGCCCAGGCUCCUCACCAGCAGAGAGGACAUGCCGAGGCCAGUCUCAUGACCAGGACUUAGUUUUACAGAGCAUUCUAGUCUAUCCAGGCCCCGGCCGCAGACGAGGUUGCCCCGAACCAAGAAACAUGUUUGCCGGAGACACUUGGUCUGAAUGUCGUGGCCAGGCGCCCACGUCCCCAGACCUGCCAUCGCCCCAACCCCCGGCCCCGACACCCAGGGCCCUCAAUGGCGGCGCUGCUCUGAGCGUCCCCAGCAGGACUCCUGUCCUCAGAUGCCACCUCUGCCACAACUUCCCGUUCGGUCCCCCUCUGUUUCACUCCCGUCUGACAACUCAGUGUGGGGCUCUGCCGGGACACCAGCCGUUGAGGCGUCUGCCCGGAAGAUGAAGCCGCUUCUCCAUGGGUCACGGAGGCAGGAAUGGGGCGGGAGAGAGGUGAUGGAAGACUUGCUCCAACCCCACCGCUGCACGGACCCCACCGCUCUGCCCGCAACGGAAAGAAACACCGGUGAAGCUCACCCCAGCUCUCGACUCUGUCAUCGAGUCAACAGCCCGCGCCAUCCGCAGGGGUUUCUGGAGCCUGCAUCCAGUUGCUUUUCGGACCUGCUCCUGGGGACAGAAACUAACAUCCUCUGAAAGCACACAGCCACCUGCUUCUACUACCGCCCUGUGUCAAGCCAGGUUUCUUGAUCGUGUAGACCGCAGAAUGGACUUACUUGGCUACCUCUGGGUCCCUCCGCGAUGUCCCCCACCCGCGGAUCAUCCCUUUGCUAAAUUCUCCAAAGAGCUCCAUGUUGCCAAACCAAAGUACCCAGCGCCGUCUCGGCCACAGUAACAGCCCUCGGUUUCACAAUGCUGUGGUUCCUCAGCUGCUGGGACCGCAGCCCACCCUGGCUUUCCCCCUGCUUCUCAGAUCUUCACUUCUAAGUCUCCCCGUUGGCCCGUUUCAUUUGAUCCCGUCCUAAAUCUUGUUUUCUUUUUUCCUCCCAGGGUUCCAACCUCUGCUCUGCGCUCUUCUCAUUCUAUACACGAUCCGUGGGCGACUACAUCGCCACCCAGAGCUCUGCCCCCCUGACUCGCUUCCAUCUGUAUCCCCAUGUAUCCCUGUGGCUUCUCCCGUCAACGAGUCUACCUAAGAAAUGCCUGCUGGGCCCCAGACCCCCACGGGCUGAACCUAUGGGGCAUCUGCACUCAGAGGUCCCACAAGCCUUGCCAAUCUGCAGACGACCCCAGACCUCCAUUCCCUCCUCUCGGGUGGACACCACCAUCCACCCAAUGCCUUAAGGCAAUAUCCUGGGGAGGUUGCUAGGUGUGCUCUCCACCGCGCCCCGCCCCCCACCCCGACUCUCUGGGACCUGCUCAGGACAAGGCUACACCAUGAUCCUCACGUUGCCACAGGUGUUCGCAAAGUCGCCUGUGAGGGCUCCUUCUCCGCAGAUACACUCUGAGCACGUCCUCACAAAGCUCCUGGUUCGGGUGCGUUCCCCACAGGAAUUCCUGAGGACACCCGGGCCCUGCAAUACACCUGGGAGAUUGAAAUCCUCAUCUUCUGUAAGAACCCCCCGUGUAAACUCGAUGAAUGAGGCACAGCAGUAAGCCCGGGAUUUGGAAUAUGGAGUUGAGUAUCUGGAACCAAUCUCUCAAAGAGAAGGUUUGGGGAGGCACGUGUCCUUGGGUGAGCAUGAAACAAGGGACUGCUCAAUUUUACUUUUCAUCAUCAAUACCUCGACCUGUUUGGGCUCUUAUCUGAGCAUGGGAAUGAGUUUGAGAACAGAAAGUAUAAGAGAAAGUUAAAAAACACAACUCAGUAGACUUGGCAGAUAAGCCUGACAGCCGAGCCCAUCGCCAUCAACGGAUACGAAUCUCAGCCAACGCGUUUUCAAAGAAUUAUUGGGAUCUGUCUGAUGAAGUGGUCGAUACAGUGUUUUCUCCGAUCUUAAAGUAGCUAAGCACAAGGGAUCUGGACAGGAAAUAAAAAGUCUUACGUUUCGUGAGCAAAUGCAGGGUUUUAACUUCAAACUCUGGUUUUCGGGAACAUUGAGAGCAGCCAGUACAAUGGCAGUUUUAAAGCCCGCGUUUACUCUGACCUGUUUUUCCUUUCCUCACAGCCUAUGAGAUCGGCCAAUCACAGCAGGUAAUGGUGAAAACCUGCGGGCCUUGUAAGGGGAGUCUCAAAUUUCUUUCUUUUCUUUUCUUUUCUUUUUUUUAAUUUUAUUAUGUUAUGUUAGUCACCAUACAAUACAUCAUUGGUUUUUGAUGUGGUGAUCCACGAUCCAUUGUUUUCGUAUAACACCCAGUGCUCCAUGCAGUACGUGCCCUCCUCAAUACCCAUCACCGGGCUAACCAAUCCCCCCUCCCCCCUCCCCUCCAAAACCCUGUUUGUUUCUCAGGUCCAUAGUCUCUCAUGGUUCAUCUCUCCCUCCGAUUCCCGCCCCCCUCAUUUUUCCCUUCCUUCUCCUAAUGUCCUCCAUGCUAUUCCCUAGGUUCCACAAAUAAGUGAAACCAUAUGAUAAUUGACUUUCUCUGCUUGACUUAUUUCACUUAGCAUACUCUCCUCCAGUCCCAUCCAUGUUGAUGCAAAAGUUGGGUAUUCAUCCUUUCUGAUGGCUGAGUAAUAGUCCAUUGUAUAUAUGGACCACAUCUUCUUUCUCCAUUCAUCUGUUGAAGGGCAUCUCGGCUCUUUCCACAGUUUGGCUAUUGAGGACAUUGGGGUGCAGAUGGCCCUUCUUUUCACUACAUCUGUGUCUUUGGGGUAAAUACCCAGGAGUGCAAUUGCUGGGUCAUAGGGUAGCUCUAUUUUUAAAUUUCUGACUUGAGGUUUUCGCCUUAAGGAUGGUUCUGUUUCCACGGCUGCAAACUAGGUUUUCAUAGAAGUUUCCAAACAAUGCUCUUGCUGGGGCCACAUUCCAGACUCCCUACCUCAGACUCCCUGGGGAUGGAGCACCUGCAUCUGUCCCUCUUUUUUUUUUUUUUUAUUAAUAAUUUUUUUAUGUUACUCUCAGUAUAGUUAAGAUAGUGUUAUAUAAGUUUCAGGUGUAGAGUACCGUGACUCAACAAUUCCAUACACCACCCGGUUCUCAUCAGGAGGGGGGCACUAAUUAAUCCCCAUCACCUAGUUCGCUGAUCCCCUCACCCACCUCCCCUCCGCUUACCAUCAGUUUGUUCUCUAUAGCUAAGAGUUUGUUUCUUGGUUUGUCUCUCUCUCUCUCUCUCUCUCUUUUUCCUUUGCUCCUUUGUGGCUGUUAAAUUCCACGAGUGAAAUCAUAUGGCACUUGUCUUCUGACAUAUUUGGCUUAGCAUAAUCCUCUCUAGCUCUACCUGUGUUAUUGCAAAUGGGAAGAUGUCAUUCUUUUUUAUGGCUGAGUAAUAUUCCAUUGUAUAUAUACCACAUCUUCUUUAUCCAUUCAUCUCUCCAUGGACGCGUGGGCUGCUUCCAUGCUUUGGCUAUUGUAAACAAUGCUGCUAUAAACAUAGGGGUGCGUGUACCCCCCCGAAUUAGUGUUUUUGUAUUUUUGGUUAAAUACCCAGCAGUGUGAUUGCUGGACUAUAGGCAGUUCUAUUUUUAGCUCUUUGCGGAAACUCCAUACUCUCUUCCAGAGUGGCUGCACCAGUCUGCCUUCCCACCAACAGUGUAGGAGGGUUCCCCUUUCUCCACAUCCUCGCCAACACCUGUCGUUUCUUGUGCUUUUGACUUUAGCCGUUCUGACUGGUGUGAGGUGAUAGCUCACUGUGGCUGUGAUUUGCAUUUCCCUGAUGGUAUGUGAUGCUGAGCAUCCUUUCAUGUGUCUGUUGACCGCCUGGAUGUCUUCUUUGGAGAAAUGUCUGUUCACGUCUUCUGCCCAUUUUUAAACUGGAUUAUUUGUUUUUCAGGUGUUGAGCCCUCUCUGAGCUGCUCCAGGAAAGAAUCGAUGUGCAGCUGAGGUUGAGAAGCAUCGCUGAGCUUUCCCGGUCCUGGUUUAAAGAGGAUCUUGGAAUCUACAGCCAUGUGUACUAAUACUGAAAUUUUUAAAAAUCCCUUCUGUGUCUUCUCUUGCAGGAGCUAUUUUUUUUUUUUUUAUUUGAGUUUAGUUGACACACAAUGUUACAUCAGCUGCAGGCGUAUGUCACAGUGAUUCAACAUGUCUAGCUGCUCUGCUCCCCAGUAGCGUAGCUACCACCGGGCCCCAGACAAUGCUAGUACAGUAUCACUGACGAUAUUCCCUGGGCUGUGCCUUCCAUCCCGUGACUUUUUCAUUCCUUCACCAGAAGCCUAUAUCUCCCACCCCCCCCGCCCCCGCCCCGCUCACUCAACUUCCCCAUCCACCCACCCACCCCCUUCCCUCUGGCAGCCAUCGGUUUGCUUUCUGUAUUCAUAGGUCAGGAGCUAUUGGUGACGCAUUUACUUUACAGCCAUAUUGAGAAUAAUUUCAAGGACUCAGGGCUGUGUUUAUGCGCCACUGUCCCCUUCUCUACAGGACACUCAGGCAGGCGGAGGGGAGGGAGAAGGGCCUCAAGGAUGGAAAGGCAGCGGGAUUUCCAUCGUCCUGGUUACCCCUCUGCCGUGGAUCCCCACUGGCUCGCUGAGCGAGGCAGGGGCCCCUGUGUUUGGGGAGGGGCGGGGGGACAACAUCCCUCCCCAGUCUACACAUGUCUUCCUGUGGCCAGAGGUUGAAGCGAAGGGUGAGGCUGGUUACCAGGGACACCGCAGCCAGUGCCAUGGGAUUCCUGAAGAAUGGAAAAGUCCUAAGUGGGUUUCAGAUGCAGCAGGGACUAUGGGAACUUGGCCCCAGCCACAGAUUUCUGAGACAACCACUCUGUACUCUGUGCACCCAGUGGCUGCCCGCACACGCGGACACGCGGACACGCAGACACGCGCAGACGUUGCACUCACCAGCACUCCGUUCCGUUGUGCCCAGGGCUCGUUCUGUUGUGCACAGGGCUUGGGCUGGCGGGAGAUGCUAGCUCACAUGGAGGAGGCAGGUGAUGAUGGGUCACACAGGCAGGACCCAGAGAACAUGGAACGAGAGAUGGGGCAGUUUCUUAGUGUUAUAAAGUCAAUGGCAUACCUCUUCCUCCAGGACUUACUUAGACAUCUGCAUUACAUUUUCUAAAGGCUGUAAUUUGGGGCACCUGGGUUGCUCAGUCGGUUAAGCAUGUGCCUUCAGCUCAGGUCAUGAUCCUGGGGUCCUGGGAUGGAGCCCCGCGUUGGGCUCCUUGUGUAGCGGGGGGGGGGGUGUUUCUCCCUCCACCCCUCUUCCCCACUCAUGCCCUCUCUCCAAAUAAUAAAAUCUUUAAAUAAAUAAAUAAAUAAAUAAAGCCUAUGAUUUACCUCUCACAGAGUUCACCCAAUUAAAGGCUGCAAUGCAGUGACUUGUAGUAGAUUUACGGAGUUGCGCAGCCUUCAGCAGGAUUCAGCUGUACAUCAUUUCAUCCCUCCAGAAGGACCCUGUGUACCCGGCAGCACUCAAGUCCCACUCCUACCUCCAGGCCGAGGCAACACCUAAGCAGGCAUGAAACUGCCGUUCCCAUGCACCAACCCGGGGCCACCAGGCAACGAACGAGGAAUGGCCCCUGAAGAUCCUAAGGCCAGGGGAACCGGCACCAUCCCGCGGGAGCUCCUACCGUGUGCAGCGGACUCUGCUUCCAAUUCUCUGUGGGCAGGAAGACUCUCCUCCCCUUGCUCCUGGAUCACGUGAAGGCCGGGCCUGCUGCAGGGCCGCAGACGGUGACGUGAUGCUGCUCCCUGGUG